rnacentral:misc_RNA from 1 species
GGCGUGAUGUUUGGGGGGCAAGUCUUGUAGCGAGCCACAACUCUUGUUAUCGUUACCACUAUGUAAUGAUAGGGAUUUGUAUAAGAUUUUGGCUAUAAAUCGGGAGGGUAAGGCUUGUGUUUAAGUUAUUGCUCUUAUGUUCUACGCACGUGUUUACAAUAUUCCUGUACAAAUCGAAGAGAAACAGUGAUUUGAAGCAAAAGCUUAAAGCGGGUUUCAGCAUGGACUGCAUUUUGAAACUCGACUUCAUGAAGUUGUAAUCGCUAGUAAUCGUAUAUUGGAAUGAUACGAUGAGUACGUUCUCAGGCANUUGUACACCGCUUGCCCGUUACAUCGUCCGAGUAUGGGGAUGGUNCUCCGAAGUAUUAUCCUAACCCGUAAGGGAGAAGGUAUUUAAGGUCCGUUUGNCGUUUGGGGUGAAGUCGUAACAAGAAGCUCGUACUUUCCAGUAUGGCUUGGAUUAGCCUCUUUUAAAUAGAAAGAUAAAUUAAGGCUAAUUUUAUUGAUUAUUCUUUUUGCUUUUAUUUUUAUGAAAAAGUUUUUGAAGUUGAGGUAAAUUUUUAGUUUAAAAUUUAGAAAAAAUAAACUUUUAGUAGGUGUUUGGUAGUAUUCAGCUUCAGCUUUAAUUAAGCUUUGUUUAAUAGUAGGUACAAUUUUAGAUUUUAGGAUUUUUACAUUAUUAACUAUGGCUUAAA